CGUAUUUGUCAUGACCGUUUUUGUAUAAGCUGGUGGAACCGCAUUUUGGACAAGAGAGCGUUGAGUUGUUCAUAUCGGGAUACCUCCUUUGUCGAGAGUUGGUUGGGGGGUGUCCCCUCUUUAAAGGAUAAUGCGGUUUUUGGAAAGUUUCAAUACUUUUAGUUAACAUUAUC
rnacentral:rRNA from 1 species